rnacentral:misc_RNA from 1 species
UUAAGUUCAGCGGGUAUUCCUACCUGAUCCGAGGUCAACCUUAGAAAUUGGUUGAAAAGACCGGGUCAAAAGGCUAGCUAAAAUGCGUGCUAAUGAAAGCUCGUUGCAUCUAGGGUCCAAUUGACGCCGUCAUUACCUUUGGGGCCCGUCUUUUAACGACAAGAGGUCCAAUAACAAGCCGGGCUUGAUUAGUGAUAAUG